GACGAACGCUGGCGGCGUGCUUAACACAUGCAAGUCGAACGGAAAGGCCCUGCUUUUGUGGGGUGCUCGAAUGGCGAACGGGUGAGUAACACGUGAGUAACCUGCCCCUGACUUUGGGAUAACUUCAGGAAACUGGGGCUAAUACCGGAUAGGAGCUCCUGCUGCAUGGUGGGGGUUGGAAAGUUUCGGCGGCUGGGGAUGGACUCGCGGCUUAUCAGAUUGUUGGUGGGGUAGUGGCUUACGAAGGCGUUGACGGGUAGCCGGCCUGAGAGGGUGACCAGCCACAUUGUUACUGCGGUACUGCCCAUACUCCUUCGGGAGGCAGCAGUGGAGAAUUUUGCCCAUUGGGCGGAAGCCUCAUGCAGCAACGCUGCUUGCGGGAUGGCGGCCUUCGGUUUGUAAGCCGCUUUCGCCUGUGACGAUGCGUGAGUGACGGUAAUGGGUAAAGAAGCACCGGCUAACUACGUG
rnacentral:rRNA from 1 species